AACAUGGUUGAAUAGCGGUAGCUUGUCAAUUCAGUCCUAGUGCCUUUAGACCCUCACCAAGAGGAAACUCGCUAAAUCGACUGGAAGCUACAGACCUGCAGCUAACAGUCACAUACCUCUUGUUCCAUUUUCUGGGCCAGUCUCCAGUACGCCUGUUUGAACUUGUCGGCCACCUUCACACACAGCGACUUCCCGAACUCCCUCUCCCCCACCGCUCGCCGCGCUCUGGGGAGAAUGAACUUCAGACUCCUCCUGUUGAGUUUUCAGAGCUUAAAAACUAGAAAUACCUGGUCAUCUCCGCUGAGGAAUCUGUCCUCUAGCCCCGAGGUUACGAUACUCCGAGCAAGACCCUGAAUGGCAACCGGUACAUCCGCACUGUAAACAUCCUGGCACUGAGAGAGAAUGACGGCCACAUCCGAACACAUCUCAUUGCUGUACUCUGUCCAAAUAAACCAACAACAAGGUACUCGUCCACCUUGAAUUUACCAAGACAACUCACAGCUAAAACAAGGAUAAGUAAAUCAUGUAUCGGAGUUUAAGGCCAUAUAUAAGUUUCCUUGCAUGUACAUCAGUCUAUCUUUACUGUGCUCUGUUUGAUACUCAUGUGAUUUUUGGGGGUAUUUUUUUAUGUUAAUUGGGGGCGGGUUCGAGAUCCAGGUAAUGCUGUCUGUGUUGUUUACUUUUUGCCAAUUAAUUGCAUUUACAAUAAAAUCAACCUGAUUAGAGACAUUUUGACCUUAAGGGUCAAGUUAAUUUCUACUUUUGACUAUAAAUCAGUUGCACGUUGUCUGUCUUGUUGUGGUUUGUCAGCUUUAUCUUGUUUUUUAUUAUUCUUUCAUAUACAUUUUUUACCCAAGUGA